CAAUAAUUACAUCUUCACCGAACCUUGCUCUGGUCCAAAGUGAGGAAACAGGAAUCCACCCAUCUCUUUCCAAUCCAAGAAAACUCCAUGAACGUGUUGUAUGAAGCUUUUUUCCUUUGUUCAAGAACACUGAUAUUACUUCUGGAUGCUUUGCAAGUUGUGCUGCUUCUUCAUCUUCCAGCAUAGCUGCGAAGCCAUUGAUGUUUUUGGUGUAGGAGUAAAAGAUUUUGUUCUUAGCUUCCUCCUUGCUUUUGGUAAAUGAUCCAAGCAAUUCAUAAUGGGAAUUUUUGACACGCUUUAUAUCAGACAAUUUAGCUUCUGAACCAUGUGAAUGUGAUCCCAAAUACACUACGUAAGACUGGAUGAGAGAAAUUAAUCACCAAUGAACGUUAGAAGAAAAUUAAGGGAAUUCAAAGAAUUUAUAAAAGAAUUAAAAAACAAUAUCAAGUUUUGG
rnacentral:misc_RNA from 1 species